CCUACGGGUGGCUGCAGUGAGGAAUAUUGGUCAAUGGGCGCGAGCCUGAACCAGCCAAGCAGCGUGAAGGAUGACUGCCCUACGGGUUGUAAACUUCUUUUAUAAAGGAAUAAAGUGUGGCAUGUAUGCACUUUUUUAUGUACUUUAUGAAUAAGGAUCGGCUAACUCCGUGCCAGCAGCCGCGGUAAUACGGAGGAUCCGAGCGUUAUCCGGAUUUAUUGGGUUUAACGGGAGCGUAGAUGGGUUGUUAAGUCAGUUGUGAAAGUUUGCGGCUCAACCGUAAAAUUGCAAUUGAUACUGGCAGUCUUGAGUACAGUUGAGGUAGGCGGAAUUCGAGGUGUAGCGGUGAAAUGCGUAGAGAUCACGAAGAACUCCGAUUGCGAAGGCAGCUUAUUAAGCUGCCACUGACAUUGAUGCUCGAAAGUGUGGGUAUCAAACAGGAUUAGAUACCCGAGUAGUC
rnacentral:rRNA from 1 species